rnacentral:misc_RNA from 1 species
AACAUCGCGCACCUGCGGGAACCUGCGGAAGGAUCAUUACAGAGUGUAACCCCCUGUAAAAUGGGGGUACCUCCCGUCCUUUGCAGGCCCUUUAGGGUCUUUUAUACUUUGCUUCGGUGGGGUAACCCACCGGAACACUCUCAAAAAUUCUGAUUUUAAAAUUGUUCAGUCUGAGAAUUUUGAAAAUAAAUAAAAAACUUUCAACAACGGAUCU